AUGAUGGCCAUCCCAUCAGUCUCGUUCUCCAACAUCUUGAUACACAACAAUAAGCUUCACGACGUCAGUCAACAACAAACUCCAUUCAGAUUGGAAAUGAUAUCCAGCGCUACAAA
rnacentral:ribozyme from 1 species